UCUCAACUUUAUUAGAAGAGACGCAUUUAUUAGAUAAAAAGCCAAUGCAUGCUUUUACAGUAUGAAAAUUGGUGAUUUAUAAUAACUUAGCAAAUCGCAUAGUGAAAACAGGCGAUAAAUCAUUCAAGUUUCUGACCUAUCAGCUUUCGACGGUAUGGUAUUGGCUUACCGUGGCAGUGACGGUUAACGGGGGAUUAGGGUUCGAUUCCGGAGAGGGAGCCUGAGAAACGGCUACCACAUCUAAGGAAGGCAGCAGGCGCGCAAAUUACCCAAUUCUAACAGUUUGAGAGAGGUAGUAACAAGAAAUAACAAUACAAGGCAGUUAAAAUGCUUUGUAAUUGGAAUGAUAGAAAUUUAAACCCUUUUUAAAGUAUCAAUUGGAGGGCAAGUCUGGUGCCAGCAGCCGCGGUAAUUCCAGCUCCAAUAGCGUAUAUUAAAAUUGUUGCAGUUAAAAAGCUCGUAGUUGAAGUUCUGCUAAAAGUAACCGGUCUGCUUUGAAUAAAAGUGGUAUCUUGGUAUGUAUUUAGCAAUGAUGUCCUUUGAAGUGUUUUUUUCUUUAUUGUAAUAAAGCAUAUUCAGGACUUUUACUCUGAGAAAAUUAGA
rnacentral:rRNA from 1 species